rnacentral:rRNA from 1 species
UACGUAGGGCGCAAGCGUUGUCCGGAAUUAUUGGGCGUAAGAGCUCGUAGCGGUCUGUUGCGUCCGCUGUGAAAACUCGGGGCUUAACCCCGAGCCUGCAGUGGAUACGGGCAGACUAGAGGUAGGUAGGGGAGAAUGGAAUUCCGGUGUAGCGGUGAAAUGCGCAGAUAUCAGGAGGAACACCGAUGCGAAGGCAGGUCUCUGGCAUUAACUGACGCUGAGGAGCGAAAGCAUGGGGAGCGAACAGG